rnacentral:rRNA from 1 species
CCCUUAGAUGUUCUGGGCUGCACGCGUGCUACAAUGGCGCUUGCAACAAGAUUGCCAACCCGAAAGGGUGAGCGGAUCUUUGAAGUGGCGUCGUGAUCGGGACAGUUGAUUGCAAUUAUUCGACUCGAACGAGGAAUUCCUUGUAAUCGCGAUUCAUCAUAUCGCGCUGAAUACGUCCCUGCCCUUUGUACACACCGCCCGUCGCUCCUACCGAUUGAGCGAUCCGGUGAAUGUUUUGGACUGGUGUCCGCAAGCGUUUCGCUUCGGACGCUACGAAAUUUUGUAAACCUUAUCGCUUAGAGGAAGGGAAAGUCGUAACA